UAGAAGCUUGCUUCUAUGACGUUAGCGGCGGACGGGUGAGUAACACGUGGGCAACCUGCCUGUAAGACUGGGAUAACUUCGGGAAACCGAAGCUAAUACCGGAUAGGAUCUUCUCCUUCAUGGGAGAUGAUUGAAAGAUGGUUUCGGCUAUCACUUACAGAUGGGCCCGCGGUGCAUUAGCUAGUUGGUGAGGUAACGGCUCACCAAGGCAACGAUGCAUAGCCGACCUGAGAGGGUGAUCGGCCACACUGGGACUGAGACACGGCCCAGACUCCUACGGGAGGCAGCAGUAGGGAAUCUUCCGCAAUGGACGAAAGUCUGACGGAGCAACGCCGCGUGAGUGAUGAAGGCUUUCGGGUCGUAAAACUCUGUUGUUAGGGAAGAACAAGUACAAGAGUAACUGCUUGUACCUUGACGGUACCUAACCAGAAAGCCACGGCUAACUACGUGCCAGCAGCCGCGGUAAUACGUAGGUGGCAAGCGUUAUCCGGAAUUAUUGGGCGUAAAGCGCGCGCAGGCGGUUUCUUAAGUCUGAUGUGAAAGCCCACGGCUCAACCGUGGAGGGUCAUUGGAAACUGGGGAACUUGAGUGCAGAAGAGAAAAGCGGAAUUCCACGUGUAGCGGUGAAAUGCGUAGAGAUGUGGAGGAACACCAGUGGCGAAGGCGGCUUUUUGGUCUGUAACUGACGCUGAGGCGCGAAAGCGUGGGGAG
rnacentral:rRNA from 2 species